CCUACGGGAGGCAGCAGUGAGGAAUAUUGGUCAAUGGACGCAAGUCUGAACCAGCCAAGUCGCGUGAGGGAAGACGGUCCUAUGGAUUGUAAACCUCUUUUGACGGGGAGCAAAAGACGCCACGCGUGGCGUUCCGAGAGUAAACGAAGAAAAAGCAUCGGCUAACUCAGUGCCAGCAGCCGCGGUAAUACGGAGGAUGAGAGCGUUAUCCGGAUUUAUUGGGUUUAAAGGGUGCGCAGGCGGAAGAUCAAGUCAGCGGUAAAAUUGAGAGGCUCAACCUCUUCGAGCCGUUGAGACUGGUUUUCGUGAGUGAGCGAGAAGUAUGCUGAAUGCGUGGUGUAGCGGUGAAAUGC
rnacentral:rRNA from 1 species